UUCGAUUUUGGAGGGCAAGUCUGGUGCCAGCAGCCGCGGUAAUUCCAGCUCCAAUAGCGUAUAUUAAAGUUGUUGCAGUUAAAAAGCUCGUAGUUGAAUUUCGGGAUUGACGUGACGGUCGUGCCUUAAGGGGUAUGAACUGUCGCCGUUGAUUUCUCACCUUCUGGAGAAGCUCGAUGUCCUUAAUUGGAUGUCUUGUGGAACCAGGACCUUUACCUUGAAAAAAUUAGAGUGUUUAAAGCAGGCAUUUUGCUCGAAUACAUUAGCAUGGAAUAAUAGAAUAGGACGGCAUGGUUCUAUUUUGUUGGUUUCUAGGAUCACCGUAAUGAUUAAUAGGGAUAGUUGGGGGCAUUAGUAUUCAAUUGUCAGAGGUGAAAUUCUUGGAUUUAUUGAAGACUAACUACUGCGAAAGCAUUUGCCAAGGAUGUUUUCAUUAAUCAAGAACGAAAGUUAGGGGAUCGAAGACGAUCAGAUACCGUCGUAGUCUUAACCAUAAACUAUGCCGACUAGGGAUCGGAUGAUGUUAAUUUUUUAAUGACUCGUUCGGCGCCUUACGGGAAACAAUCACUAGUGA
rnacentral:rRNA from 1 species